ACAGCAGCCGCCGCGGGAAUACGGAGGGUGCAAGCGUUAUCCGGAUUUAUUGGGUUUAAAGGGUCCGUAGGCGGAUCUGUAAUUCAGUGGUGAAAUCUCACAGCUUAACUGUGAAACUGCCAUUGAUACUGCAGGUCUUGAGUAAAUUUGAAGUGGCUGGAAUAAGUAGUGUAGCGGUGAAAUGCAUAGAUAUUACUUAGAACACCAAUUGCGAAGGCAGGUCACUAAGAUUUAACUGACGCUGAUGGACGAAAGCGUGGGGAGCGAACAGGAUUAGAUACCCCGGUAGUCCCUGUCUCUUAUAC
rnacentral:rRNA from 1 species